GUACUUCUGAGGAGUCCUAAAAUAGGACAAAACGGCCGUCUAGUGC
rnacentral:hammerhead_ribozyme from 1 species